GAUGAACGCUGGCGGCGUGCCUAAUACAUGCAAGUCGAGCGAACAGAUGAGGAGCUUGCUCCUCUGACGUUAGCGGCGGACGGGUGAGUAACACGUGGAUAACCUACCUAUAAGACUGGGAUCACUUCGGGAAACCGGAGCUAAUACCGGAUAAUAUAUUGAACCGCAUGGUUCAAUAGUGAAAGACGGUUUUGCUGUCACUUAUAGAUGGAUCCCCGCCGCAUUAGCUAGUUGGUAAGGUAACGGCUUACCAAGGCAACGAUGCGUAGCCGACCUGAGAGGGUGAUCGGCCACACUGGAACUGAGACACGGUCCAGACUCCUACGGGAGGCAGCAGUAGGGAAUCUUCCGCAAUGGGCGAAAGCCUGACGGAGCAACGCCGCGUGAGUGAUGAAGGUCUUCGGAUCGUAAAACUCUGUUAUUAGGGAAGAACAAAUGUGUAAGUAACUAUGCACGUCUUGACGGUACCUAAUCAGAAAGCCACGGCUAACUACGUG
rnacentral:rRNA from 1 species